rnacentral:rRNA from 1 species
CCUACGGGUGGCAGCAGUGGGGGAUAUUGCACAAUGGGGGAAACCCUGAUGCAGCGACGCCGCGUGAGUGAAGAAGUAUUUCGGUAUGUAAAGCUCUAUCAGCAGGGAAGAAAAAAGACGGUACCUGACUAAGAAGCCCCGGCUAACUACGUGCCAGCAGCCGCGGUAAUACGUAGGGGGCAAGCGUUAUCCGGAUUUACUGGGUGUAAAGGGAGCGUAGACGGCAAUACAAGUCGGAAGUGAAAUACCCGGGCUCAACCUGGGAACUGCUUUGGAAACUGUAUGGCUAGAGUGCUGGAGAGGUAAGCGGAAUUCCUAGUGUAGCGGUGAAAUGCAUAGAUAUCACGCAGAACUCCGAUUGCGAAGGCAGCAUACCGGCGCCCGACUGACGCUGAAGCACGAAAGCGUGGGUAUCGAACAGGAUUAGAUACCCGAGUAGUC